rnacentral:rRNA from 1 species
UACGUAGGCAGCAAGCGUUGUUCGGAGUUACUGGGCGUAAAGGGUGCGUAGGUGGCUCUAUAAGUAUGGUGUGAAAUCUCCCGGCUUAACUGGGAGGGUGCGCCGUAGACUGUGGGGCUAGAGUGUGGGAGAGGAAAGUGGAAUUCCUGGUGUAGCGGUGAAAUGCGUAGAUAUCGAGAGGAACACCUGCGGCGAAGGCGGGUUGCUGGGCUGACACUGACGCUGAUGCGCGAAAGCCAGGGGAGCGAACGGG